rnacentral:rRNA from 2 species
GGACUACUCGGGUUUCUAAUCCUGUUUGCUCCCCACGCUUUCGUGCCUCAGCGUCAAUGAUCGUGUAGUAAGCUGCCUACGCAAUUGGUGUUCUAUGUCAUAUCUAAGCAUUUCACCGCUACAUGACAUAUUCCGCUUACCUCCACGAUAUUCAAGAUUGAUAGUAUCCACGGCAGUUUCCGAGUUAAGCUCGGAGAUUUCACCACGGACUUACCAACCCGCCUACGCACCCUUUAAACCCAGUGAAUCCGGAUAACGCUUGCACCCUCCGUAUUACCGCGGCUGCUGGCAC